GCCCUGCUGAGAAGCUAAUGCUCGUUUCACUGUCCCUGGCAUCACCCAAUUGAUGCCAUAUAUGUUCAAAAACCUACUCCUGAUGUCUGUCCUGUGAAUCUGCGAUGUAAAAAAGGAUGUCUUACAGUUUCUAGGUCCUUUUCACAUAAAAAGUCUUGUGUGAGAACGUGCCUCAUGUGAAGCAAUCCACCCACAGAUAUCCAGCUUUUGUUUCCAUAGCUUCUUCCAAGGCUCCUCCUCCAGUUCCCCUUCUUUAGCAAAAAUUAGUAUAAUUUGGUUCUAAUGUAAUAACUGUGUAACCCUUUCUAUUUCCCAGUCCUUAAAAUAUCUUCUAAUUUCUAACUUUUAACCAUCACUGGUCCAGCUUUGCGCAAUACUGAUUUCCUUAUCAAUCAGCAGAUUGAAAGUGUGCCUUUUGACUCGAACCAAUCUCUUUCUUUUACUUUGUGACCUGUUAAUUGCUUUUUGGCUUUAUAAUUUUCUGUUCGUGCCUUUUGAUUCAAACCAAUCUCUUUAUUUUACUUUGUGACCUGUUAAUUGCUUGUUGCCUUUAUAAUUUUCUGUUUUAAAGUUUUUGUUAUAAGGAAAACCGCAGGCUAAUGCUGUUUUUAAGUUCGCAAUAAGGAAAACUAGCUAGUUACAAAUGCUAUAAGGUGAG
rnacentral:lncRNA from 1 species